rnacentral:rRNA from 1 species
AGAACGAACGCUGGCGGCAUGCCUAAUACAUGCAAGUCGAACGAGAUCUUCGGGUCUAGUGGCGCACGGGUGCGUAACGCGUGGGAAUCUACCCUUGGGUUCGGAAUAACAGUUGGAAACGACUGCUAAUACCGGAUGAUGACGAAAGUCCAAAGAUUUAUCGCCCAGGGAUGAGCCCGCGUAGGAUUAGCUAGUUGGUGAGGUAAAGGCUCACCAAGGCUACGAUCCUUAGCUGGUCUGAGAGGAUGAUCAGCCACACUGGGACUGAGACACGGCCCAGACUCCUACGGGAGGCAGCAGUAGGGAAUAUUGGACAAUGGGGGCAACCCUGAUCCAGCAAUGCCGCGUGAGUGAUGAAGGCCUUAGGGUUGUAAAGCUCUUUUACCCGAGAUGAUAAUGACAGUAGUCGGAGAAUAAGCUACCGGCUAACCUCCGUGCCCAGCACGCCGAC